rnacentral:misc_RNA from 1 species
AAGAAGGGGUAUAAAUUGUUGCACGCGCAGAAUGAUAUUACAGAUUUAUGGCCGUGGAAACUAAUCUGGAAAACAAAGUUACCACCAAAGAUAAUAUGCCUCAGCUGGUUGGCAUUAAAGAUUGCUUGUUUGACAGUGGACAAUCUUUGUAGAAGAAACUUCCAGCUGGUCAGCAGGUGUUAUUUGUGUCAGGAAAGUGCAGAAUCAGUAAAUCAUCUUUUCUUGCAUUGUGCGG